GAUGAAGAACGUAGCGAAAUGCGAUACUUGGUGUGAAUUGCAGAAUCCCGUGAACCAUCGAGUCUUUGAACGCAAGUUGCGCCCGAAGCCAUUAGGCCGAAGGCACGCCUGCCUGGGUGUCACACGUCGUUGCCCCCCCAUCUACUCCUUCGGGAUUGCGGGGGGCGGAUGAUGGCCUCCCGUGCGCCUCGUCGCGCGGUUGGCAUAAAUGCCAAGUCCUCGGCGACGCACGCCACGACAAUCGGUGGUUGCGAAACCUCGGUUGCCCGUCGUGUGCGGUCGUCGCGCAUCGAGGGCUCGAAAAAAUUGCCGGGCUCCGGCUCGGCUUUCAACGCGACCCCAGGUCAGGCGGGGUUACCCGCUGAAUUUAAGCAUAUCAAUAAGCGGAGGA
rnacentral:misc_RNA from 1 species